rnacentral:rRNA from 1 species
AUUAGCUAGUUGGUGGGGUAAUGGCCUACCAAAGCAACGAUCAGUAGCCGGCCUGAGAGGGUGAACGGCCACACUGGAACUGAGACACGGUCCAGACUCCUACGGGAGGCAGCAGUGGGGAAUAUUGCACAAUGGGGGAAACCCUGAUGCAGCAACGCCGCGUGAGCGAUGAAGGCUUUCGAGUCGUAAAGCUCUGUCCUAAGGGAAGAUAAUGACGGUACCUUAGGAGGAAGCCCCGGCUAACUACGUGCCAGCAGCCGCGGUAAUACGUAGGGGGCAAGCGUUAUCCGGAAUUAUUGGGCGUAAAGGGUGCGUAGGCGGCCUUAUGGGUCAGAGGUUAAAUACUACGGCUUAACCGUAGUAUGCCUUUGAAACUAUAGGGCUUGAGUGCAGGAGAGGAGAGUGGAAUUCCUAGUGUAGCGGUGAAAUGCGUAGAUAUUAGGAGGAAUACCAGUGGCGAAGGCGACUCUCUGGACUGCAACUGACGCUAAGGCACGAAAGCGUGGGUAGCGAACAGGAUUAGAUACCCUGGUAGUCCACGCUGUAAACGAUGAGUGCUAGGUGUUGGGGGUCAAACCUCGGUGCCGCAGUUAACGCAUUAA